rnacentral:rRNA from 1 species
GAAAGAAAGGAUUUAUUCGGUAAAAGAUGGGCCCGCAUCUGAUUAGCUAGUUGGUGAGAUAAUAGCCCACCAAGGCAACGAUCAGUAGCCGACCUGAGAGGGUGACCGGCCACAUUGGGACUGAGACACGGCCCAAACUCCUACGGGAGGCAGCAGUGGGGAAUAUUGCACAAUGGGGGAAACCCUGAUGCAGCAACGCCGCGUGAAGGAAGACGGUUUUCGGAUUGUAAACUUCUAUCAAUAGGGAAGAAAGGAAUGACGGUACCUAAAUAAGAAGCCCCGGCUAACUACGUGCCAGCAGCCGCGGUAAUACGUAGGGGGCAAGCGUUAUCCGGAAUUACUGGGUGUAAAGGGAGAGUAGGCGGCAAGGUAAGCGAUAUGUGAAAGCCUUAGGCUUAACCUGAGGAUAGCAUAACGAACUAUCUAGCUAGAGUACAGGAGAGGAAAGCGGAAUUCUUAGUGUAGCGGUGAAAUGCGUAGAUAUUAGGAAGAACACCAGUGGCGAAGGCGGCUUUCUGGACUGAAACUGACGCUGAGGCUCGAAAGCGUGGGGAGCGAACAGGAUUAGAUACCCUGGUAGUCCACGCUGUAAACGAUGAGUGCUAGGUGUCGGGGAGGAAUCCUCG